AUCCAAGCCACGUCUGAGACCUACAUCACAGCUCAUGGCAACGCCGGAUCCUUAACCACUGAGCAAGGCGAGGGAUUGAACACGUAACUUAUGGUUCCUAGUUGGAUUUGUUUCCGAUGCGCCACGAUGGGCACUCCAAUGCCAACUCUUUAUUUACUGAAUUUAAUCUGUUGUGGCCAAAAUAAAAGCAUAAUCAAAGUAUAGUGUCAAAAUUGCCAUCAUUCCUUUAAUGUUUAAUAAAUAAUAAGUGAUGCAUAUGUGCAAGCUGCUAUGCAAGAAAUAGUCCUAUGCUUUCAAAAAUCUUAAAAUCUUAUGGAAAUAAUAGAGCAUGUCAAAAAGUUCCUCCAUAUAAGACCACAUGAUUUUUCUUCCAACAGGUAGGUUGUAACAGUUAAGUCAUAUGUACCUUUAAAAAUGGACCAUGAGAAAAGGUGUAAAAAGAGGGUUGGGUGAGAAGGGAUGAAAACAAAUCUAGAAGAGCUUUAUAUGCACCUAGAUGCUUAUGAUUAAGUAAAAAUAUGGACAGUAAGAACAUGUAACACAUUCCAAAAUUAAUUCUGUGCUUAAAAUAUUUCAAAAAUCAUACACUUGAAGGGAUGUAUGUUGCAAGGUUUUGUCUGGCAUUCAGUGAGAUGAUAACUAGAAUGCACCAAAAGAGUUAGUAUUUGGUACAAUAUCUAUUUUAAUCCACAGGCAUUAUUAUCCAAUUCUGCACCUAAUAUAGAAAAGAAAAAGUUUAGGUGUAAAGCAUGCACAUGAAUAAAAUCAUUGUUAGUUGCAUAAUUUGUGGUAUUAAAUAGUUCAUGUGUGCUACAAGGUAGGUCAUAUAUCUUGACUAUUUUCUUUUCUUUUCUUUUUUUUUUGUAUUUUUGUCUUUUUGCCUUUUUGCCUUUUCUAGGGCUGCUCCUGCGGCAUAUGGAGGUUCCCAGGCUAGGGGUCUAACUGGAGCUGUAGCCACUGGCCUACAUCAGAGCCACAGCAACGUGGGAUCCGAGCCACUUCUGUGACUUACAUCACAGCUCACGGCAAUGCCAGAUCCUUAACCCACUGAGCAAGAGCAGGGAUCGAACCCACAACCUCAUGGUUCCUAGUUGGAUUCGUUAACCACUGAGCCAUGACGGGAACUCCUUGGCUAUUUUCAAAAUAACUUUGAAAUUGAUUUCUAACAAACUCUAUGUGUUACCUGUCUAAAUGUAUGUUUCUUUACUUGAAAAUAGGAAAUUAUAUGAAAAGAGGAGAAAAAUCUCUGUGUGUGUUUAGUUCUAUUUACUUACAGUUAAAUCAUUAAAACUAUUCUUUACAUUACAGUGUUUCUGAUUUUAAAGAAAAGAAGCAUAUAUUUGUUAUUUUAAUAUAGAAAAGAGAAAAAAUAGAUCAAAACUAAAAUAACAUUUAGAUAUGCUGGAUAUAUACUUGGGUUAAAAAUAAUCUAACAAUUUGAAAUGAAAGUUGCUUUAGAAAACAUAGUUUAGACUGUACUCAGAGGUGGGGUCAGAGUGGACUAUUUAAUUUCAUUGGCUUUAUUCACUUCAUAAACAAUACCAUGAUGAUCACAGUGUUUAACUGCAGUUAAUUUGAAUUUGUUAAUGGUGGUUCCUAGGAGAUAUAUUUCCAGGGUGUGGAGAACGGAUCUGUUUAACUAUUCAGUCUGAGCUUCUGAAAUGUUAACAUGU
ensembl:lncRNA